AGAGUUUGAUCCUGGCUCAGGACGAACGCUGGCGGCGUGCCUAAUACAUGCAAGUAGAACGCUGAGGUUUGGUGUUUACACUAGACUGAUGAGUUGCGAACGGGUGAGUAACGCGUAGGUAACCUGCCUCAUAGCGGGGGAUAACUAUUGGAAACGAUAGCUAAUACCGCAUAAGAGUAAUUAACACAUGUUAGUUAUUUAAAAGGAGCAAUUGCUUCACUGUGAGAUGGACCUGCGUUGUAUUAGCUAGUUGGUGAGGUAAAGGCUCACCAAGGCGACGAUACAUAGCCGACCUGAGAGGGUGAUCGGCCACACUGGGACUGAGACACGGCCCAGACUCCUACGGGAGGCAGCAGUAGGGAAUCUUCGGCAAUGGACGGAAGUCUGACCGAGCAACGCCGCGUGAGUGAAGAAGGUUUUCGGAUCGUAAAGCUCUGUUGUUAGAGAAGAACGUUGGUAGGAGUGGAAAAUCUACCAAGUGACGGUAACUAACCAGAAAGGGACGGCUAACUACGUGCCAGCAGCCGCGGUAAUACGUAGGUCCCGAGCGUUGUCCGGAUUUAUUGGGCGUAAAGCGAGCGCAGGCGGUUCUUUAAGUCUGAAGUUAAAGGCAGUGGCUUAACCAUUGUACGCUUUGGAAACUGGAGGACUUGAGUGCAGAAGGGGAGAGUGGAAUUCCAUGUGUAGCGGUGAAAUGCGUAGAUAUAUGGAGGAACACCGGUGGCGAAAGCGGCUCUCUGGUCUGUAACUGACGCUGAGGCUCGAAAGCGUGGGGAGCAAACAGGAUUAGAUACCCUGGUAGUCCACGCCGUAAACGAUGAGUGCUAGGUGUUAGGCCCUUUCCGGGGCUUAGUGCCGCAGCUAACGCAUUAAGCACUCCGCCUGGGGAGUACGACCGCAAGGUUGAAACUCAAAGGAAUUGACGGGGGCCCGCACAAGCGGUGGAGUAUGUGGUUUAAUUCGAAGCAACGCGAAGAACCUUACCAGGUCUUGACAUCCUUCUGACCGGCCUAGAGAUAGGCUUUCUCUUCGGAGCAGAAGUGACAGGUGGUGCAUGGUUGUCGUCAGCUCGUGUCGUGAGAUGUUGGGUUAAGUCCCGCAACGAGCGCAACCCCUAUUGUUAGUUGCCAUCAUUAAGUUGGGCACUCUAGCGAGACUGCCGGUAAUAAACCGGAGGAAGGUGGGGAUGACGUCAAAUCAUCAUGCCCCUUAUGACCUGGGCUACACACGUGCUACAAUGGUUGGUACAACGAGUCGCAAGCCGGUGACGGCAAGCUAAUCUCUUAAAGCCAAUCUCAGUUCGGAUUGUAGGCUGCAACUCGCCUACAUGAAGUCGGAAUCGCUAGUAAUCGCGGAUCAGCACGCCGCGGUGAAUACGUUCCCGGGCCUUGUACACACCGCCCGUCACACCACGAGAGUUUGUAACACCCGAAGUCGGUGAGGUAACCUUUUAGGAGCCAGCCGCCUAAGGUGGGAUAGAUGAUUGGGGUGAAGUCGUAACAAGGUAGCCGUAUCGGAAGGUGCGGCUGGAUCACCU
rnacentral:rRNA from 1 species